UUCGAGGCCGGGCCUUGACCUAUGAAUUGACAGCCGGUGGCCACCGCAUCUCGCCUGUCAGUUUCACAGGUCAAGCCACGGCCUC
rnacentral:pre_miRNA from 1 species